rnacentral:rRNA from 1 species
CAGCCGCCGCGGUAAUACGUAGGUGGCAAGCGUUGUCCGGAAUUAUUGGGCGUAAAGGGCUCGCAGGCGGUUUCUUAAGUCUGAUGUGAAAGCCCCCGGCUCAACCGGGGAGGGUCAUUGGAAACUGGGAAACUUGAGUGCAGAAGAGGAGAGUGGAAUUCCACGUGUAGCGGUGGAAUGCGUAGAGAUGUGGAGGAACACCAGUGGCGAAGGCGACUCUCUGGUCUGUAACUGACGCUGAGGAGCGGAAGCGUGGGGAGCGAACAGGAUUAGAUACCCCAGUAGUCCCUGUCUCUUAUAC